rnacentral:lncRNA from 1 species
UUUAAUAACUUUUCUUAUUGUAAUUGAAAGCAAAUAAUAAUAAUCCAUUUCAAAAUGAAUAAUGCACUUCAUUCAAUUUACAUCAAACAAAAACAAUUACUAAUUCACAAGUUCAAAAUGUCGACAAUAUGAUAAAGAAGCUAAACUAUUUGAAUCUAAUUCCUAGUGUAAGCUUUUGAUAACUUUGUUAUCAAAUGGCUAUAAGCCCUACGAAAUUCGCGUGCCCUUGAUCAUAAUGAAGGUUGCCAUAUAUCAAAUUCCUGAAUAUCAAAAUGUAUGACCUGAAAUGAUAUAAUAAAACUAGUAUCAAACAUACAACCAUAUGUGAAAUUCUUCAACUGUCAAGAAAAUAAUUAUGUGAUAUUUACGUGUCCAUAAUAGCAAAUACCAAAUUCCUGAAUAUCAAGAUGUAUGACCUGAAAUGAUAUAAUAAAACUAAUAUCAAACAUACAACCAUAUGUGAAAUUCUUCAACUCUCAAGAAAAUAAUUAUGUGGUAUUUACAUGUCCAUAAUAGCAUAUCCUUUCCCUCUUCCUUUGUUCUUUCAAUCUUUAUUAUCAACUGCCAAACUCUAAAAAGAAAUAUAUGUUUUGGCAUGCUUACAUAUUCUCAAAAGUUAAGAAGAGAAAGGCUUCUAAAUAGUUGGUAAAAUUAUCAUAAUAGACAACUUUUAAAUAGACAGUAAGAAACAAAAAGGAAAGUUAAAAUUGGAACACCAAUGCUCACCUAUUGACAAAAACUUUUCUAACGUAUUCCUCUUUGUUGCCCUCCCAGUGAUUAAGCAACUAAAUUUCAGUAUGGAUAAUCGGAAAAAAGCUGCUCAAUUUAUUCUAGGCAGGAUUAUUAUCAGUAUAAAGUGGUAGAUAAAUUCAAAUAAUUAACUGCAUCUACAUUCGAGAAGAUAAAGAAAACUAAAGGGAGCCUAUACACAGAUUUAUUGCUUCAGCCAUGUAAUAAAAUUUAUAAAUUAAAGAAGCCAAGAAUGUCUACGCAAAGCAGAGGGAAGUAGAAGUCAAGAUUUAAUAGAUCAAAGUUUGCAACUCAUAAGAACUUUGUACGAAUGUAAUUUAACUGUCGAUUGUUGUCUAUAUAUUUCACAUAUACCUACUUAGAUAAUAUGCUAAGUUAACAGAUACAACUUCCCAAAUGCUAUAAAUGAUGAGUAUCCUUUCUCUUUUGACAUUUCUUAAUUAGCUUGAAUUGUGUAUAUAUCUUCCUUCACAAUUGUACAAAAUAUUAAAAUGUAUUCUAUUCUAGUCUUAAAAUUUUUAUAACUGGGCUAAGAAAUGCUUCAUCAAAAAAUGGCCCUCCAUUCCAUUGUUAUGGGUCCCAAUAAUGGUCCAGUAGGUAUCAUAAUGGGAAUAAGAAAUACUAUGAGCAUUUUGUAUUAUUGGAACUUUAUUACCAUAUAGGUUUGUUAAAUCAAACAAGCCAACUUAAACUCCUUAACGUGAACUGAUCAUAAUCUACAAGACAAUGUAUUUUUCAAGGCCUUAUCAAUGAAACAUUCCAAAGCGUCAUAUCAUCAAGAUUUCUUUGAACCCUACUUCAUAUACGAAAUAGUAACUAAAAGAUAUUAAAUUAGUUCAUUGAACUUUGUGACUUCAAGAGCACUUACAGGCUAAAAGAGGGACAACCAUGACAAUCUUCUGCAAAUCCCCGUCAGCUUGCAUAAUCUUUUUAAUUUGAACCUGCAAAUAAGUAGGAAAUGAGAUAUAAGUAUGGUUGUAUUCAAAUCAAAGAAAAAUUUAAAUUUUAGAAACAAGAUCUUAUAUGACCUGAAAGCAAUUUGGUCCAGUUAAGCACAUUAAAUUGAAAAGGGAGAAUAGUUAACAUUCAAAUAGCAGCAACGUAAUAGUCGUCAAAAUCUUUCUCAAGAAAACAAAUUCUAGCACAAUAAAGUUUGAACCUUGAGAAACUAGACAAACAGGAAAUUCACGUAAAAACCUCAAACACUUUACCUUUUUAUUGAACGUUCAUUUUCCACAUAAACGUGGCUUGAACAAGUCAUAUACCUCAAAUACUGUACCCUCUCCUAUAGACUCGUGAUAUAUUUGAUCUUUACCUAAUACACUCUAGAGUUUUCUUUGAGAUACUAAACAAUAAAGUGCUCAGUGAUUACAAAAUUCAAAUGAUAGUAAAAAUGUUGAAUUACUUAUUAAAAAUAGAUAGCUUAUUGCGAAGUGUCUUUUUUUGGUCUCAAGAGUCUCCUGUAAACUCAUGAUAUAUCAAUAUUUUCAAAGUACACUAGAGACUCUAUAGUGUUUUUAUUUUGAAGCACUACAAGAAAGUGCUUAGUGGUAGUAAAAUUCGAGCGGCAGUAAAUAGCCAACACGACCUACCUUAAGUAUCUCAAUAAACUAUUCUACAUUUUUCUUCAAGUAUUUUAGUAGUCUUCCUUACACGAUGAUAUCAAAGAAUUGCUUGAACUUAAUAAGGGAUUAACUUGAUGAGUAUCAUGGCAUCAAACUAAAAAAUAAUUGUUGAAUCUUCAGUUGCUCUAAUUCCAUUUCAUUGUAGAAAAUAUCAAAUUGUAACAUCUUUUUGUCAGUUCUUCCAUAUGUGAAAUGGAGUAUGGAUACAUAUUAUUCCACAAAAAAAAGAUUAAAAUAAAUGAAAAGAAAUAUAGUUACUUAGAUACUGAGCAUACAAAUUUUGAGAGUGAAUAUGAGUAAAUUGAUCUGGUGAGGUAAAAGGUCGAACACCUAGAAGGCAGUUAAUAACCAAAGGGUACUACUUAAAAUACUUUGAAGUGGUCUAUGUUUACUGAUUUCAUCUAGCUACUUGAGCACACAACAACAUAAAAGAAACAACAAUUUAACAUGCUAGUGGAAAGCGGACUUCACUUGUCACAGACAUCCAUCCACAAAUUUGACGCUCCUAGAAAGCAAAUCAAAGGGAAAAAAAAUCAAUAAAUACAUUAUCUUAGAAGAAAUUUGCAAUUUGAGAUUCAAAACUUAUAGGAAACGCAAAAAUAGAAAUACCUAACCAAAAUUUUGAAAGACUCAUAGUCGCACCCGGAUCUACCAUCAACAACAUUUACCCAAAUCGCUCUUCCAUCCAAACUCUGUAAGAUUUUAU